UUCUCAUUUCUCUUCUCUCGCCAAAAAAAACCUAAGCCCAGAAAUGAAACGCAGGUCACACAAUUUUUUCCCUUUUCGCAUCCCUCACAUAAAGCAACUUCCUUCGUUGAUCUCAGAUGGCGACGGUUAUGGCGGACAAGAAAUCGAAAACGAAGAUCGUCUGUACCAUCGGUCCCGCAUCAGAGUUCCUUCCCAUGAUCGAGAAGCUUCUCCGAACAUGCAUGAACGUCGCUCGUUUCAACUUCUCUCAUGGCUCUUACGAUUACCAUCAGGAAACCCUAGAUAAUCUCAGAACCGCCAUGGAUAAUACCGGUAUCCUCUGCGCCGUCAUGCCCGUGUUGUCCAAAAGCUCUGGGCUUUUGUUCGAGAAGCGAUUAAUCGAGAGACACAUACAGUUCAUUCUUUCUCUCUCUAAGCGUUUCUCCACCAAUCAACUUCUCUGUUUCCGGAAUCGCUUUCACCAUCGCCGCCGGUUAGGGUUCCAUCAACUUCUCGAAAUGCACGGGAUCGAGACACACGAUGGGGAUUAGGGUUCCAAUGAUGGAAUGAAGGGGAUGGAGCAUUCUAUGGACCAAAGAUAGAUAUCAGUGUAUCUGAUGCGCUGAGUAGAAAAUUCCAGUGUGCAAAUCUACAGACUGGCUCCUUGCAGCUUGACUUCCAGCUUCCUGAUCGUUUUAAGUUGGAAUUCUCAGCUGAGGAUGAAGCCAAAAUUGAGAGGCCUGUUAUGAUACACAGAGCCAUUCUAGGAUCAUUUUAAGUUGGAAUUCUCUGAAGAGUUAUCUGGUCGUACAGACAAUGAGAUAAAAAACUAUUGGAACACUUGGAUCAAGAGGCGUACCCGAGCUGGCUUGCCACUUUAUCCUCCUGGUGUAUAUCAAGCGGCUCUUAAUAACCAAAGCACCGGUAGAAUUAACGUUGGCAAUAAAGUGCAUUAUGAUUUCUUGCAUAAAAGGAGUUUUAAUGAACCCUUUUUUAACUCACAAAGCAUAGAAGUCUUCAUGCAGUGUAAACAUGUUUACUCGACUCAUGGCUGAUAAUAGUUUAAGAAAACAGUCUUGUCAAAAUAAGUUAAUUUAAGUAGUCACUAAAUUUUAUUUUUUAUGAAGGUUAGUAUAUUCCCAACAAACUACACAAUGGAACAGGAACAUUGUGAAAUCAAUAUUAUGAAAAUCUAUGCAUAUGGUUUUCCUAUUAAUUCCUUAAAAUUCAUAUGCAGGAAACAUUGUGAAAUCAGAGUAUGUUGAUCAUGUGUGGUCCCCUGACAGUUCUUAUAUCAAGUCUCUGUUGAACAAUAGUCGUCCAGAUUUUGUGCUUGAUUCAGGUUGGUAUGAGUCGUGUUCUGGGCUAUGAAGCACAGACUCCGACACGGACACCGGGACACGACACGACACGGACACUCCGACACCGAUAAUGUUGAAAACAUAGGACACCGACACCGCUACAUAUAAGUUAAUAUUUGAGUUUCAUUUAUCCAUAUAUUGAUCAAAAUUAAUGUCUUUAAUUCUUUAUUGAUAACAUUGUUUCAAUACAUGUUUAACCCUUUUUAGAUGUGUGUGAGAUCUGUCCAAAAAUAUAUAUAAAUGUGUGUUGAGGCAAAGUAAAAAGAUAAAUUUUUGUUUGAAACAUUUGUCUGAGUUGUCGGACAUAUGUGGUAUGAGUGUCGUACGAGUGUCGGACACUCAUUAAAAGAGUGUCGAAGCAAAGAAAAGAACCAUUUUUUAUGGGACACUUGUCUGACUUUUCCGACACUUAUUUGACUUUUCCGACACGUGUCGUACGAGUGUCAUACAAGUGUCGGACACCGACGCGUGUCGGACACCGCGACACGCCUACUCCUAGAGGUGUCCGUGCUUCAUAGGUUCUGGGCAUGGAAAUAACCAAGCCGUUGCCACUGAUGCUACAUUGAUGUUUCAAGAAGAUCAAUUAGCCACCGACUAUAGACAUAUGACUGCUGCUGGAACUUCUAACCCAAGUCAGGUAUGGGAGUUAAGUUCUUUUGGAUGGAACAACAUGCGUGCUGUCUGUCAAGUAUCUGAUCUUGGUUAAGAAAACAUCCAAGAUGUGUGAUUUGAAACUGCUGUACUAAUUGCAUUCAUGUUGGUUUUCUUAACAUGGUCGUCAGGUGUUAAUAUCUUUACGUGUGUUGAUUUGAACCGAGAAAUAUUUUACGUGUGAUUUUCUAGUACUGAAAAUAUGAUAAUCGAGAGACACAUAGAGGUAAAGGUUAAUUCUUUGUAUUUUAAGUUCAUUCUUUGUAUUUUAAGUUAAUUCUCAGUAUAUUUGCUUAUGCAAUAACUAUCAGGAUUGCUUUUUUAAAACCUUUGUGUAGGAGGCACUUGGAUAAGCUUUUAAAUUAAAGAAGACAGAAAUAAAUUUACGAUAGAUGCAUGUAACUUUUAUUCAAAAGCUACUUUUCCUAGCCUUUUAGAGAAGCACAAAAAAAAAAAUUGGCUUUUUUCUCUUUUUAAUUCUUUUAUGAUUAUGAUAAACAAAUUUAAACAUUUUUUCCCUUAAAGAAAAUGUUAUUUUAAAAAUGAACAAGUGGAUUUAUAAUACUCAAGAACCAAGUAGUUUACCGACAUGUUAAUGGUUGUCUGAACUUUAUUGCUGAUAGUUUCAUAAACUCAAUGCAACUUGUUUUUGUAGUUUUCACUGGAGAAGCAUGGGGUUAUCUCGGAAGCAGAAGAUUUUUAGUAGAACUUGACGAGCACUCAGAUGUUGUUCAUGGCCUUAAUCGCUCGUUAAUUGAAAAGUUCUGUUGGAAAGGGUCGCAUUCAAGGUGCUAAAAACUACUUUGCUCAUGCAGAAGGGGAUUCUUCUGCCACAAAUUAGAUAAUGGCUGCUCUGAAACAUGCCCAAGAGUCGCUACCGUCUGAAGAUACAAAUAUUGCAUCUGCAAGUGUCUCAAAUAUUACAUAAUUUUUUUUUGUAGCCAUAGGGUGACAUUCAUUAUUCAUAACUUAGGCUUUUUUUUUUUAAA